UGUUAAAAAUCGUAUCCAUUUCUAUUGUUAAAAAUUGGCGUGACUGGUGGAAUAAUCAGAUAGUGACACGUGGCGUGACGUGGCAUAUGUACCUCAUUCUGACGUACAUGGAUCAGUUUUUAAUGGUCAAAAUGAAUGAAAUUUUUAACA
rfam:Gossypium hirsutum cultivar TM-1 unplaced genomic scaffold scaffold568.1, whole genome shotgun sequence